AUUGCAGAGUCAUAUAGGGGACCUUGCAAGUACUGACCAGCAAUUCGGUCUAAGCGUGGUGGAAUACAAGUUUUACGGCAGAAGAUAUGAUGGCGUCUUGGGUUUGAACCAACCCAACAUGUCCUCUCUGGAGCCAUCCCCGUAUUUGACAAGCUGAAGAAUGAAGGUGCCAUUUCUGAAUCUGCUUUUGCCUUCUACUUGAGCAAGUGAGUUUGAGAUGGACAAUUCCUUUCUCCAAAAUAGCUGUGAGAUGCUUUCAGUUGCACAAAAAUUAUAGAACACUUGAUAAAGAAGUAUCCUGAGA
rnacentral:lncRNA from 1 species